rnacentral:misc_RNA from 1 species
AAGAGAAAAUAAGGAAACGUUUGGAUGUCAUUUGUGUUCUUUUGACGCUGACCGGAUCACAGUUCUCGACCGACAUCUCUUAAACGACCAUAAAAUUGGUAUCGACAAUCUUCUAAAACUCGUUAUGGAAAAAACUAGAGAAGGUCUCGCAGAAGAAUAUCCAUCUCAGCUGUAUGGUAUACGACAACCGUAUUACAAACCAACAGAUGAAAUAAUCGAAAACGGAGAGUUUGUUAUAGAGACGUCAAGAUUCUCCACGGGAUUGGGAAAAAGCAC